GACAGAGGUGCCAAGCGUUAGGCGGAAUCACUGGGCUUAAAGCGUGUGUAGGCGGAUUUGUAAGUACCUUGUGAAAUCCCAUGGCUCAACCAUGGAACUGCUCGGUAUACUGCGAAUUUUGAGCCACUUAGGGGCUACCGGAACAAAUGGUGGAGCGGUGAAAUGCGUAGAUAUCAUUUGGAACGCCAAUGGUGAAAACAGGUAGCUGGGAGUGUGCUGACGCUGAGACACGAAAGCCAGGGGAGCGAACGGG
rnacentral:rRNA from 1 species